AGCUUUGCGCAGUGGCAGUAUCGUAGCCAGUGAGGGUUACCCGAGGAGUGACUAUUGCUAAUUGAAAGGAUACAAAUUUCAUUGUUAUUCUUGGAUAUAUCAUAAGCCUGUCAGCAUUAGGAAGCUUUUUGAGAAU